UGGGGAAUUUUGGACAAUGGGGGCAACCCUGAUCCAGCCAUGCCGCGUGAGUGAAGAAGGCCUUCGGGUUGUAAAGCUCUUUCGGACGGAACGAAAUGGUCAGGGUGAAUAUCCCUGACUGAUGACGGUACUGUAAGAAGAAGCACCGGCUAACUACGUGCCAGCAGCCGCGGUAAUACGUAGGGUGCGAGCGUUGUUCGGAUUUACUGGGCGUAAAGCGCGUGUAGGCGGGUCGUUAAGUUGGGGGUGAAAUCCCGAGGCUCAACCUCGGAACUGCCUUCAAAACUGGCGACCUGGACUCAAGCAGAGGCAAGUGGAAUUGCGAGUGUAGAGGUGAAAUUCGUAGAUAUUCGCAGGAACACCAGUGGCGAAGGCGACUUGCUGGGCUUGUAGUGACGCUGAGACGCGAAAGCGUGGGGAGCAAACAGGAUUAGAUACCCUCGUAGUCCCUGAGCGGGCUGGCAAGGCGCAU
rnacentral:rRNA from 1 species